CGAACGGGUGAGUAACACGUGACCAACCUGCUUUAGGCGAGGGACAACCUGGGGAAACCCGGACUAAUACCGCAUGACGCUUUUUUUCGCAGGAAAGAAAGACCAAAGGGGGCCUCUUCUUGAAAGCUCCCGCCUAAUGAGGGGGUCGCGGCGUAUCAGCUUGUUGGUGAGGUAACGGCUCACCAAGGCUACGACGCGUAGCGGGUCUGAGAGGACGAUCCGUCACAUUGGGACUGAGAUACGGCCCAG
rnacentral:rRNA from 1 species